rnacentral:rRNA from 1 species
GACGAACGCUGGCGGCGUGCUUAACACAUGCAAGUCGAACGAUGAUCAGGAGCUUGCUCCUGUGAUUAGUGGCGAACGGGUGAGUAACACGUGAGUAACCUGCCCCUGACUCUGGGAUAAGCGUUGGAAACGACGUCUAAUACUGGAUACGACUGCCGGCCGCAUGGUCUGGUGGUGGAAAGAUUUUUUGGUUGGGGAUGGACUCGCGGCCUAUCAGCUUGUUGGUGAGGUAAUGGCUCACCAAGGCGACGACGGGUAGCCGGCCUGAGAGGGUGACCGGCCGCACUGGGGCUGAGACACGGCCCAGACUCCUACGGGAGGCAGCAGUGGGGAAUAUUGCACAAUGGGCGAAAGCCUGAUGCAGCAACGCCGCGUGAGGGAUGACGGCCUUCGGGUUGUAAACCUCUUUUAGUAGGGAAGAAGCGAAAGUGACGGUACCUGCAGAAAAAGCACCGGCUAACUACGUGCCAGCAGCCGCGGUAA